CCUGUCCUCCCUGCCUCGGCGCUGCCCUCGACCUCGCUUGAUCUGCCUGCUCCCGCCGCGCCCAUCAUGAUCCGACCUCGCUUGACCUCGACCUAGCUUGAUCUGCCCAUGCGCGGUCCCGGACCUUGCAAGGCGGCGGCGCAAGCGACCGGCAGUAGAUGAGUCCACCAUCUCCUCGAAUCUGAUGGCCCUCGGCGACAGCGCCGCCACGUCACCGGUGGCCAAGCUCUCCAUCUCCGGUGCGGCCCUCGCGAUGCUUCUACAUCGUUGCCUCGUCUGCAGCCAGCGACUGAAAAGACUUCCUCUUCGACCAUGCUUUGCAGCUGCCCACUUCUGAUAUGACAUUCCUUUGGAAAAUCUAAAAUAACUGCAUACUCAUGUCAGUUAAUAGAGUGCAGGCACAUGCUAUUCUCCAUUGUAUUCUGGAAAAGGACAUUUAUCAUAAUAGAUAACUAUGAAGCGUGCUGGACAUCAAGUGGUAUGGAGAUUAAAAGAUUUCUUUUCAUCUUUCAUGUUGUUUUGGUCUUCUACUUGACCAACAUGGCUUGGGAUUCUGAAAACGCUUGGAAGUAAUAAUGUAAUAUGCCUUCAUCUAGCAUGUUUUUUGUAAAAUCAUAGUUGCACUUGAAUUUUGGUAAUUUGGUUGUCACUAAUUCCUGCUUAUUCUGAAUAGCUAAUCUAAAUCUAUGCCACAGCUCAUGAUUUACUUGUUUUAUUACAUGAUCAGGAUAAACAUGUUACCUCCAGGCAAAUCACUAUCACCAGAACAAAUAUGUCCAUUUGUUUUGCUCAAUUAAUUGGUUCUACAGGUCGUUGUUGUUGGUGAAUGUGGUGCGGAUUAUGAUAAACUUCAGUUCUAUCUAGCAGAUGUACAAGGGAAGUAUACAAUCUUGUUCUCUUAUGCAAAAACAUUGGCAUUUAAUCUAUUCAUUUGAGUGAUUUAUUUUGAUUUAGAUACUUUGAGAAACAAUUUGAGUUGGCUAAAGUAGUAAAACUGCCAAUGUUUCUUCACAUGUGUGCUGCUGGCGAAGACUUCUAUGAAAUCAUGACACGGAAUUUGCAUAGGUACCAUAUAAUCUGUAUUCCAUAGGUAAUGUUCCUUAAUGAUGCCCUGCACGAUACUUGGUGGCUUUUUUGGUACAAAAAGAUUAUAUUAAUAUAUAAACAUACUAUAUACACUUAUAUUUGAUAUAGUAUAUGCAUGCUAUCUUCAACUUUGGAUACGUCAUCUCCAAAAAGACAUGUUCGUGUACAUUUCUCUAUAGCUAGAUUUUCUUUAAAUUAUUGAUGAUGAAGAAAUCAUAUGAAUUUGUGUACAACUGGCAUCCUACAAGUUCUUUGUAAGUAGAACUAUGUACCUUAUGUGAUAUUUUUUUUCUAUCUUAUGGAAUCUAUUCCUAUCUUUUGGAUUUUGUGACUAUAUUAUUGGGUCUAUUAUUUUAUCAAAUGGUCAACAUUGAAGAUAGCUCCAUUAUCCGAUAUUGCUAUAUAUUACAACUUUUAUGGACAAUAUCAAACACCAUAGAGAUGAUUGUUGUGAAAGAUGGAGCGCACUCAUAUGGAUGAACAUGUUCAUUCGUCCAAAAGAGGCGGUCUUCAAACUGUCCCGUUCAUAAUCAUUAACGAAGGAUGUGAACGGAUUGUAAAUGUAGCGGUCAGUGCAAAUAUUAUUAUAAACGUAGCGGUCAGUGCAAAUACUAUUUCGUCAAGGAGGUGGUCAAGGGCAUCGACGAGAGCGACCUCCAAGGCUCCACGAGACGUGGAUCAAAGUCUUCGCCAUGCACAACGCCCACGAGCGCAUCACCAAGCUCGAGAACAUGUGCUGGCGGAUCUGGCACCUCACGCGUAAGAAGUAGGUCAGGAUUUCGCACGUCUCUUUCGUGGUUAUAAUCUCUCGCUGCUUGUUCUGUUUUGUUAAUAAUCUUGCUCGCCUCUCGAUUCAUGUUUUGUAUCAGUUUGAUCUCUAUUUUAAUUUGAUCUCUGUUUUAGUUUGAUCUUUGUUUAGUUUGAUUUUUAAGUGUUCUCUGUUUACUGGAUGGAGAUGCAUGAUUAAUGAAGCGCACACUGCACAACGAGUAUAAUAUCUGAUAAAUAUUCUAAUCGUUCGUUGCUUUAUGUUUAAGCCUGAUGAUGAAGUGAUGGUAGAUCAAUCAUGCAUGCCUGGUUGUGGUGCUUCCAAAAUUCAGAACCACACACUUAACUGAGAUGUCACAUCUUGCAAUGUUUCAUUGUUGUUCAUAUAAAGGAGUUCGAGCAUAGUGGAGACCCCAAGGGUCAUUUUCAGGCACUGCUAGCUCUAGCGAUGGAUGGUUUAGAGAAAGGAAAGGCUGGCACUGCUGGCUCAAGCGAUGGAGGGUUUCGAGAAAGGCAAGGUUGUGUAUGAUUAUAUUGUUUCCCAGCAUGCAAAAUGUGUUGUGACUAUUGUUUCCUUGUAACCUAUUAAUAAAUUGCUAGGGAAAGUUAUUCGGUCAUGUGUUAUGAUUAGAGCUACUGAAAUUUCUGACAGGCUCUUACUUAAACAAUGUUUUAUAAACUAAUGAUAUAACUUAAAGUUUGCAUGACCAAGAAACAACAAUAUACCUUUUCUGUCCCAAGCAAAUUGGAUUAGGUUGGAGAAGAAACCCAUCUAGAGCCACAAGAAUAUGUAAAAAGAGCUAAAUCGAUUGUAGCGGUAAUAAACAAGAACUGUGAUUCUAUAAGCAUGAAGUGCUGGUGUUAUCUACUUGGUGUAUUUGUAAUCUACAAUGUUUACUUCUUAAUGCAAAUGAUGAACAAUUAUGCCUAUUUGAGAAAUAGAAACAAGAACGAAAUAUAGUUCAAGAGGGCAGGUGCAAACACACCAUUACCCCGAUCUAUGCUUGCGAAGUAGUGUGCAAUGAUUUACUUGUCAAUCCACAGUUUCAACAAAAGGACAUGCACUUAUAUUUGAACUAGUGUUUAAGUUUUGAAAUAUGAAGAUAUGAUGUUUUUGUAGUGAGACACUCAGUGGUUAUUUCAGUUCCCACUCUCUACAACCCCAUGGAAAAACACUAACAAUCUUACAUGGGUUCCAAGUUCUACAGGUCGUUGUUGUUGGUGAAUGUGGUGCGGAUUAUGAUAAACUUCAGUUCUAUCUGGCAGAUGUACAAGGGAAGUAUACAAUAUUGUUCUCAUAUGCAAACACAUUGGCAUUUAAUCUAUUCAUUUGAGUGAUUUAUUUUGAUUUAGAUACUUUGAGAAACAAUUUGAGUUGGCUGAAGUAGUAAAACUGCCAAUGUUUCUUCACAUGUGUGCUGCUGGCGAAGACUUCUAUGAAAUCUGUAUUCUUCACACGAAAUUUGCAUAGGUAAAAAGGAAAACUUGUUGCUGCCGGGAUUCUCCAGCAAGGUGGGCGGUGGAGGUGAUAUGCCAUUGGGUUAAAGGAGUUAUCCACAGCAGUUGUUGUUCAUGUCUCGCUAUUGUGUUGCUUGCUUUUGUUUGUGUCAGUGGAAGAAGAGUUUUGUAGGUGCCAUUGAAUAGUUAGGACUAUUUUCAGUUAUAUAAAAUCAAAGAAAAUUGCAAGUUAAUUCACAUGUAUGUAAUAAAGCUUCUUAGUAAUUAUC